AACAACAAAGGGAAUGAAACGGGUUGUUUCCCUUUCCCUUUGUCAGUUACCCCUAACCAAACGGCCCCUUAAAGUCGUGUUUUUUCUUUCCACAACUACAGAUUAGGGUUCCUGUCAUCAGAAGUAUCACUGGCACAGAAGUCGAGAAGUAUGACGUUACCGUCUACAACAAAAACGGAAACGACGCCGGCAUCACCGCCGUCGCAGAAGUUGGGCGUAAAAAGGAUCCGAUCAUCUUCCCCGAGAAAGAGAAAGAGAAAUCGAGAUUUGGAUGCAAAGAUAAGUGAAGCCACGAGUCCACAGCUCCCGGAAGAAUUGAUCGAAUCGGAGAUACUGACACGCCUCCCAAUCAAAUCAGCGGUACGUUUCCAAUGCGUGUGCAAGUCAUGGCGAUCUCUAUUCUCCGAUCCACAGUUUGUAAAUCAGCACAGCACUCGCCAAAACCCUAACCACCGCGACUGCGUCGUGGCUGAUCGAGCAGGCAUUAUCAGUAUUCAGUCCCGCACCGAAGCGAUUUUGUCCUUUCCUAGGGAUCGGGGGUCCUGUAUGAUCGGUUCUGCCAAUGGAUUAGUUUGCAUCCGUUUUCGCAACAUUCUGUCCUUGUGGAACCCCGCAAUUCACAAAUCCAAGGAAAUUCACAUUCCGCCCCUAGGAGUAGGAGUUCGCGUGGAUAUGGUUGGCCUCGGCUUUGAUCCGAUAAGUAAUGAUUACAAGGUGGCUGUCUCGUACAAGCCUCGAGUGUCAGGUUGUUCUUCAGGUUAUGGAUAUGCUGUUUACUCUGUUAAUUCUGUUUCAUGGUUACAUUACCGCUUUGAUGAUCCUGUUUACGAGAUGCUUAUUAGUAAGUCAUGGGAUUCACUCAAUCCAACUACCGUGGUCAAGGAUUCUCCUUAUUGGACUUGUUCUGCCAAGACUUGUUCUGCUCGUAGGAACUAUGCUUUGUGUUUUUCAUUGAACGCACUCAAGUUUGAUGCUACGAGUAACAGGUUCAAGCUGUUGCCUCGCUUCUCCUCUGAUUAUGAUUUUAAUUUUAAUUUUAGAAAGAUAUUUAAAGUCUUGAAUAUGAGGGAUUUUCUUACUUUAAUGGCCUAUGAACCAUGUAUAACUGGUAGAGCGGAUGUGUUACAUGUGUAUUCUUUGGAUGAGGACAAGGUAUGUGGUGGUUUUUGGAGUAAGAUAUACCGUUUGGGGCCAUUUGAUAAUUUUUGGCGUCCUCGGAACUUGGAACAAGGAUUUAAGUAUGGUGAUGAGGUUGUAUUACAUGGUUACGGUAAGAUUUUCCGCUAUGACCAGAAAACAGAUAAGUUGGAGUUCAUUCCGGGUACUGCACAUCGUACCUGCAGGCACUGCUAUACUUAUACGCCUAGUCUGGUUUUCCUUCAAGGAAUGACGUCUAUUUAUUCAGAGAACCAGAGUCCUCCGCUUGGUCACCACUCUACAACUCCUCAGCGAUUAAUUGGUUCAUUAUUAAGAGAGAAAUGAUUUGCCAGUUUAGAAGACAAUUAAGGCCCAUGGCCAGUUAAAAGAAGUGUAAGGCCGAAAACUUGUGUGGAAGGAAAAUUUGAACAUUCUUUUUAUUCAGGUUUUAAAGCACCAACAAGUUAUUGACGAGCUGAUGGCAGAAAACAAGAAGCUCCGAGAAAUUUUGGUAGACGACCUCAAAAUUGCACCCAGCAAACUACACGGUAGCUACUCAAGUAGAAACUCUUCGCCUUGUACUGAUUGUUUUGAAUGUCCUAGAAAACAAAGAAGAUAGUUCAAACUUGAAAGUUAAUAGUAAUUUAUCAAGGUCAAUCCAUUGAAUCUUUUGCUAUAUACAUAAUCAAGCUACCAUUU